GCACAACGCGAAGAACCUUACCAAGGCUUGACAUACACCGGGCGGCUGUGGAGACAUGGCUUCCCUUCGGGGCUGGUGUACAGGUGGUGCAUGGCUGUCGUCAGCUCGUGUCGUGAGAUGUUGGGUUAAGUCCCGCAACGAGCGCAACCCUUGUUCCAUGUUGCCAGCGGCGGCGUUGCCGGCCGGGGACUCAUGGGAGACUGCCGGGGUCAACUCGGAGGAAGGUGGGGAUGACGUCAAGUCAUCAUGCCCCUUAUGCCUUGGGCUGCAAACAUGCUACAAUGGCCGGUACAGAGGGCUGCGAAGUCGUGAGGCGGAGCGAAUCCCUAAAAGCCGGUCUCAGUUCGGAUUGGGGUCUGCAACUCGACCCCAUGAAGUCGGAGUCGCUAGUAAUCGCAGAUCAGCAACGCUGCGGUGAAUACG
rnacentral:rRNA from 1 species